rnacentral:rRNA from 1 species
CCUACGGGUGGCUGCAGUGGGGAAUAUUGCACAAUGGGGGAAACCCUGAUGCAGCAACGCCGCGUGAGUGAUGACGGCCUUCGGGUUGUAAAGCUCUGUCUUCAGGGACGAUAAUGACGGUACCUGAGGAGGAAGCCACGGCUAACUACGUGCCAGCAGCCGCGGUAAUACGUAGGUGGCGAGCGUUAAUCGGAAUUACUGGGCGUAAAGCGCUCGUAGGCGGUAUGUCAAGUCAAGGGUGAAAUCCCCGCGCUCAACGUGGGAACUGCCUUUGAAACUGGCAAACUGGAGUGUGUGAGAGGAUAGUGGAAUUCCAGGUGUAGGAGUGAAAUCCGUAGAUAUCUGGAGGAACAUCAGUGGCGAAGGCGACUAUCUGGCACAUAACUGACGCUGAGGAGCGAAAGCGUGGGUAGCAAACAGGAUUAGAUACCCCUGUAGUC